rnacentral:rRNA from 1 species
AGAACGAACGCUGGCGGCAUGCCUAACACAUGCAAGUCGAACGCUCAUCCGGCUUCGGCCGGAUGGGAGUGGCGCACGGGUGAGUAGCGCGUGGGAACCUGCCCUGUUGUGGGGGAUAACCGAGGGAAACUUCGGCUAAUACCGCAUGCGCCCCGGCGAAAGCCGGGGGAAAGAUUUAUCGCAGCAGGAGGGGCCCGCGUCGGAUUAGGUAGUUGGUGGGGUAACGGCCCACCAAGCCGAUGAUCCGUAGCUGGUCUGAGAGGAUGAUCAGCCACACUGGGACUGAGACACGGCCCAGACUCCUACGGGAGGCAGCAGUGGGGAAUAUUGGACAAUGGGGGCAACCCUGAUCCAGCAAUGCCGCGUGAGUGAUGAAGGCCUUAGGGUUGUAAAGCUCUUUCGCCCGCGACGAUGAUGACGGUAGCGGGAGAAGAAGCCCGGCUAACUUCGCGCCAGCAGCCGC